GAUUUGAAUUGAACGUUCAUGCUAAAAUACAAAACUGAGUGACAUUUCAUAUCACAAUUCGGUUGAAUAUUCGUAUUUCCACACCGCAAUGUCAUUUUCCUGCAAAUACUCUUAUUCACUUAGGGACCUUGUAAUCUGUGGUAAUUUAUAUAUCUGUGAAUGAUUCUCUCCCCCAGUUUUGGAACACAACGGAGCCAAUAUGGACCUACACCACCGCGAAAGUAGGAGGACCAAAUAUUUCUUGUCUCGUCGACGUCAAGAUAAAUCAGACUGGCAGUUACGCCUACAUUGUAAGGUCUUACUACAAUUUAGAGAAGGAGAAAGAAAAAGAAAAUGUCACGCUUAAGGGACUUGUUAGUGUCCGUAAUAGAUACGAUCCAGAAGCAAUGAUACUUUCCUAUGCAAAUAAUUACACGACGUAUGCCUCUGAGAGAUUGCUAUAUCAAAGUAGAGACAACAGCUGCGGAGUCUUUAGAGUGCAACGAGGCAUUGACCCUUUCAGGCUCGACCUACGAGUGAAAAAUUCUUCUGUAUCGAAGGAACUUGACCGAGGAUGCUCAGCGUAUUUCUGGGCAGCAUACGAACAUCACCGACACCGUCACCUCCUUAGCAAUGUCACACUGUACGAGCCUUCUUGUCAGAGAAUACUUCAGUCGCCAGCCAUUGGAUGUUAGCCAAAAAAAGCGUUACCUGUUUACAUUGUACUAUCCCACUAUAUGGAGAUGGUAUGUCGUGGCAACUCCACCUGUAGUGACCAUGUUGCUGUUACAUCAUUCUUGCCAUUCUUCCGUACACGAAGCACCGACCUUUAUGCUGCAUUGGAGCAGUCAGUAAAAACCACUUUGCUCAAUGAAUUCCUCUUGCU